AGAGUUUGAUCCUGGCUCAGGAUGAACGCUGGCGGCGUGCCUAAGAUAUGCAAGUCGAGCGGUAAGUGUUCUCACUGAGGUUCGAACACCUUUUACAGUUAACCCUUUACCAUUAACCACGCAUUAGCCAUGAUCCAUUUACCAUGGAAAACGGAUAAUACACGGUGAACGGUGAACAGAAAAUGGUGAACGGUGGAUUCGAGCUUUUGCGAGAAUACACGAGCGGCGGACGGCUGAGUAACGCGUAGGAAUGUACCCCAAAGUGAGGAAUAAGCCCGGGAAACCGGGUCUAAUGCCGCAUAAUCUCUUCGGAGGAAAGCCUUCGGGCGCUAUGGGAGCGGCCUGCGUAUGAUUAGCUUGUUGGUGAGGUAAAGGCUCACCAAGGCGACGAUCAUUAGCUGGUCUGAGAGGAUGACCAGCCAGACUGGAACUGAGAACGGUCCAGACCCCUACGGGGGGCAGCAAUUAGGAAUCUUUCACAAUGGGCGAAAGCCUGAUGGAGCAACGCCGCGUGCAGGAGGAAGGCCUUCGGGUUGUAAACUGCUUUUAAGGGGGACGAUUAUGACGGUACCCCUAGAAUAAGGACCGGCUAACUCCGUGCCAGCAGCCGCGGUCAUACGGAGGAUCCAAGCGUUAUCCGGAAUUACUGGGCGUAAAGAGUUGCGUAGGUGGCAUAGUAAGCAAAUAGUGAAAGCGUGCGGCUCAACCGCAUAUCCAUUAUUUGAACUGCUAAGCUUGAGCAUGAGAGAGGUAGAUGGAAUUUCUAGUGUAGGAGUGAAAUCCGUAGAUAUUAGAAGGAACACCGAUGGCGUAGGCAGUCUACUGGCUCAUUGCUGACACUAAGGCACGAAAGCGUGGGGAGCGAACGGGAUUAGAUACCCCGGUAGUCCACGCCGUAAACUAUGGAUGCUAGCUGUUAUCAGUAUCGACCCUGGUAGUAGCGAAGCUAACGCGUUAAGCAUCCCGCCUGUGGAGUACGGCCGCAAGGCUAAAACAUAAAGGAAUUGACGGGGUCUCGCACAAGCGGUGGAGUGUGUUGUUUAAUUCGAUACUAAGCGUAGAACCUUACCAAGGUUUGACAUCCUGGGAAGGUCUCCGAAAGGAGACUGUGCCUUCGGGAAUCCAGUGACAGGUGUUGCAUGGCCGUCGUCAGCUCGUGUCGUGAGAUGUUUGGUUAAGUCCAUUAACGAGCGCAACCCUUAUAGUUAGUUGAAUUUCUCUAGCUAGACUGCCCCGGUAACGGGGAGGAAGGAGGGGAUGAUGUCAGGUCUGUAUUACCCUUACAUCCUGGGCUACAAACACACUACAAUGGCCGGUACAGAGGGCUGCCAACC
rnacentral:rRNA from 1 species